rnacentral:rRNA from 1 species
CAAAAACAUCGCCUCUUGCAAAGCUAAAGAAUAAGAGGUCCCGCCUGCCCUGUGACUAUUAGUUUAACGGCCGCGGUAUUUUGACCGUGCAAAGGUAGCGCAAUCACUUGUCUUUUAAAUGAAGACCUGUAUGAAUGGCACAACGAGGGCUUAACUGUCUCCUCUUUCAAGUCAAUGAAAUUGAUCUCCCCGUGCAGAAGCGGGGAUAUAAACAUAAGACGAGAAGACCCUAUGGAGCUUUAGACACCAAAGAAGAUCCUGUCAAGUAACCCCUUAUAAGGACCUGAACUAAUGGAAUCCUUCCCUAAUGUCUUUGGUUGGGGCGACCGCGGGGAAACAAAAAACCCCCACGUGGAAAGGGAGCACCCCCUCCUACAACUAAGAGCCGCAGCUCUAAUUAACAGAAUAUCUGACCAACAAGAUCCGGCAAUGCCGAUCAACGGACCGAGUUACCCUAGGGAUAACAGCGCAAUCCCCUUUUAGAGCCCAUAUCGACAAGGGGGUUUACGACCUCGAUGUUGGAUCAGGACAUCCUAAUGGUGCAGCCGCUAUUAAGGGUCCGUUUGUUCAACGGUUAAAGUCCUACGUG